rnacentral:rRNA from 1 species
GACCUCAAAUCAGGUAGGAACACCCGCUGAACUUAAGCAUAUCAAUAAGCGGAGGAAAAGAAAAUAACAAUGAUUCCCCUAGUAACUGCGAGUGAAGAGGGACAAGCUCAAAUUUUAAAUCUGUCGGGUUUUACCUGAUCGAGUUGUAAUUUGAAGAAGCGUUUUCUGCGUAUUUGGUCAGCCCAAGUCCUAUUGAAUGAGGCAUCAUGGAGGGUGAUAAUCCCGUCCGGUUGAUCAUUGCGUUUUAUGACACGCUUUCUAAGAGUCAAGUUGUUUGGGAUUGCAGCUUAAAAUGGGAGGUAAAUUUCUCCUAAGGCUAAAUAACGGCGAGAGACCGAUAGCGAACAAGUACCGUGAGGGAAAGAUGAAAAGAACUUUGAAAAGAGAGUUAAACAGUACGUGAAAUUGUUGAAAGGGAAACGAUUGAAGCCAGUCGUACCUAUGGGUAAUCAGCCUUUUGGGUGUGAUUUUGUGGAGCGUGAGGAGUUAAACGCCUUCAUGCCUGCAUAUUCGUGCACUUUGGGUGUACUUGCCCGUGUGUAAGUUAACAUCAAUUUUGGUGGUCAUAAAAUGGCUGGAGGAAUGUAGCUUCGAUCUUGUAUUGAAGUGUUAUAGCCUUCGGUAGAUGUGACGAUCGGGAUUGAGGAUUGCAACGGAUACCCUUCGGGGCUACCUGUCUGAUCUCUGAUUGUUGCUCUGGUACCGAAAGCUUGCUUACGGUUAUCAAAGUCGAUGGUCAAUAGGUUAGAACGGGUUAAAUUCGUUAAGGAUGUUGACGUAAUGGCUUUAAACGACCCGUCUUGAAACACGGACCAAGGAGUCUAACAUAUAUGCGAGUGUUAGGGUGAAUAAACCCUUACGCGUAAUGAAAGUAAUUUUGGUGGGAUCACUUUUGUGCACCAUCGACCGAUCAGGAUAUUUUUUGAUAGAUUUGAGUAAGAGC